ensembl:snRNA U6 U6 spliceosomal RNA
AUGCUUGCUUUGGCGGCACAUAUGCGAAAACUGGAAAGAUACAGAGAAGAGAAGCAUGGCCCCUGCCCAAGGAUGGCACGUGAAUUUGUGAAGCAUUCCAUAUNNNN